UGACCUCAGAUCAGGCAAGGCAACCCGCUGAAUUUAAGCAUAUUAAUAAGCGGAGGAAAAGAAACUAACAAGGAUUCCCCUAGUAAUGGCGAAUGAAGCGGGAACAGCUCAAAUUUAAAAUCUCCGUUGCUUGCAACGGCGAAUUGUAGUUUCGAGAAGCACUUUCUCGGCGGAUCCGAGGUCGUCCAAGUUGCUUGGAACAGCACGUCGUAGAGGGUGACAACCCCGUCUGCGGCGAUCUCGGCCGUUCACGAUGUGCUUUCGACGAGUCGGGUUGUUUGGGAAUGCAGCCCAAAAUGGGUGGUAAACUCCAUCUAAAGCUAAAUAUUGGCACGAGACCGAUAGCGAACAAGUACCGUGAGGGAAAGAUGANAAGCACUUUGAAAAGAGAGUUAAAAAGUACGUGAAACCGUUAAAAGGGAAACGAAUGGGGUUAGCAAUGCGUCGUGCGAGAUUCAGCCGGUGGGUGGGCCAGGCGGGCGGUUGGCGGAUCUGAAUGGACCGCUGCCGUUCGGGUUGGUUUCCCGACCGUCGCACUUCUCGCAGGCGCGCGCCAACGUCGGUUAGGGCUGGGUCUCAAAGGCGGUGGAAAGGUAGGUUUGGACUCUCGGGCCCGAACUGUUACAGUCCUCCGUUCGUCAUGGCCCGGACCUGACCGAGGAGCUUGCGGUGCAUGCCCUUUCGGCUAGGGUCCCGUCUUCCCGGUCGGUCGUCGAAUGCGGUGGACUGCGUGCAGUGCGCCGCGACUGCUGCCGGUCGCGAGGGCGGUGAUUUCGUACUAUGCACCCACGACGUUGGCGGUCAUAUGGCCUCAUCCGACCCGUCUUGAAACACGGACCAAGGAGUCUAACAUGUGUGCGAGUCUUUGAGUGAUCGAAACUCCGAGGCGUAAUGAAAGUGAAGGCGACUUCGGUCGCUGAGGUGAGAGCCUUUUUCCACAAAAAAAAGGCGCAUCAUCGACCGACCUAUUCUACUCUUAGAAAGGUUUGAGUAAGAGCGCAUCUGUUGGGACCCGAAAGAUGGUGAACUAUGCCUGAAUAGGGUGAAGCCAGAGGAAACUCUGGUGGAGGCU
rnacentral:ncRNA from 1 species